CCUACGGGAGGCAGUAGUGGGGAAUAUUGGGCAAUGGGCGCAAGCCUGACCCAGCAACGCCGCGUGAAGGAAGAAGGCUUUCGGUUUGUAAACUUCUUUUAUUGAGGCCGCAAAAAAUGACGGUACUCCAUGGAUAAGCCACGGCUAACUACGUGCCAGCAGCCGCGGUAAUACGUCGGUGGCAAGCGUUCUCCGGAUUUACUGGGUGUAAAGGGCGUGUGGGCGGGACUGCAAGUCAGGUGUGAAACCCAUGGGCUCAACCCAUGGCCUGCAUUUGAAACUGUAGUUCUUGAGUGAUGGAGAGGCAGGCGGAAUGCCGGGUGUAGAGGUGAAAUGCGUAGAUAUACGGAGGAACACCAGUGGCGAAGGCAGCCUGCUGGACAUUAACUGACGCUGAGGCGCGAAAGCGUGGGGAGCAAACAGGAUUAGAUACCCUGGUAGUC
rnacentral:rRNA from 1 species